rnacentral:rRNA from 1 species
AGAGUUUGAUCCUGGCUCAGGACGAACGCUGGCGGCGUGCCUAAUACAUGCAAGUAGAACGCUGAAGACUUUACCUUGCUAAAGUUGGAAGAGUUGCGAACGGGUGAGUAACGCGGAGGUAACCUGCCUACUAUGGGGGGAUAACUAUUGGAAACGAUAGCUCAUACCUCGUAACAGUGUUGUACACAUGUUAGAUGCGUGAAAGAUGCAAUUGCAUCACUACUAGAUGGACCUGCGUUGUAUUAGCUAGUUGGUGGGGUAACGGCCCACCAAGGCGACGAUACAUAGCCGACCUGAGAGGGUGAUCGGCCACACUGGGACUGAGACACGGCCCAGACUCCUACGGGAGGCAGCAGUAGGGAAUCUUCGGCAAUGGGGGCAACCCUGACCGAGCAACGCCGCGUGAGUGAAGAAGGUUUUCGGAUCGUAAAGCUCUGUUGUAAGAGAAGAACGUGUGUGAGAGUGGAAAGUUCACACAGUGACGGUAACUUACCAGAAAGGGACGGCUAACUACGUGCCAGCAGCCGCGGUAAUACGUAGGUCCCGAGCGUUGUCCGGAUUUAUUGGGCGUAAAGCGAGCGCAGGCGGUUUAAUAAGUCUGAAGUUAAAGGCAGUGGCUUAACCAUUGUUCGCUUUGGAAACUAUUAAACUUGAGUGCAGAAGGGGAGAGUGGAAUUCCAUGUGUAGCGGUGAAAUGCGUAGAUAUAUGGAGGAACACCGGUGGCGAAAGCGGCUCUCUGGUCUGUAACUGACGCUGAGGCUCGAAAGCGUGGGGAGCAAACAGGAUUAGAUACCCUGGUAGUCCACGCCGUAAACGAUGAGUGCUAGGUGUUAGCCCCUUUCCGGUGCUUUAGUCCCGCAAGCUAACGCAUUAAAGCACUCCGCGUGGGGAGUACGCCCCCAAGUUUGAAACUCAAAGGAAUCACGCGGGACCCGCACAAGCAGCGGAGCAUGUGGUUUAUUUCGAAGCAACGCGAAGAACUUUCCCAAGACUUGACAUGUCCUGAAUUACCAGUAAUGUGGGAAGUCCCUUCGGGGACAGGAACACAGGUGGUGCACGGUCGUCGUCAGCUCGUGUCGUGAGAUGUUGGCUGAAGUCCCGCACCGAGCGCAACCCUUAUUGUUAGUUGUUACCAUGAAGUUGACCACUCUCGCGAGAUUGCCCGGGUUAACCGGGAGGAUGGAGGGGAGAACGUCAAAUCUUCAUCCCCCUUAUGUCUAGGGCUACACACGUGCUACAAUGGCAAGUACAAAGAGAUGCAAUACUCCGAGGUGGAGCAAAACUCAAAAACUUGUCUCAGUUCGGAUUGUAGGCCUGCAACUCGCUUACACGAAGCUGGAGUUGCUAGUAAUCGCGAAUCAGAAUGUCGCGGCGAAUACGUUCCCGGCUCUUGCACACACCGCCCGUCA